rnacentral:rRNA from 1 species
GGGGAAUUUUGCGCAAUGGGGGCAACCCUGAUGCAGCAACGCCGCGUGGAGGAUGACGCAUUUCGGUGUGUAAACUCCUUUUAUAAGGGAAGAUAAUGACGGUACCUUAUGAAUAAGCACCGGCUAACUCCGUGCCAGCAGCCGCGGUAAUACGGAGGGUGCAAGCGUUACUCGGAAUCACUGGGCGUAAAGGAUGCGUAGGCUGGAAAUCAAGUCGAGAGUGAAAUCCAACGGCUCAACCGUUGAACUGCUCUCGAAACUGGUUACCUAGAAUAUGGGAGAGGUAGAUGGAAUUGGUGGUGUAGGGGUAAAAUCCGUAGAUAUCACCAGGAAUACCGAUUGCGAAGGCGAUCUACUGGAACAUUAUUGACGCUGAGGCAUGAAAGCGUGGGGAGCAAAC